rnacentral:rRNA from 1 species
GACGAACGCUGGCGGCGUGCCUAAUACAUGCAAGUCGAACGCAGUGGGGACGGGUGAGUAGCACGGGGGUAACCUCCCAUCAGAGGGGAUAACACUUUGAAACAGGUGCUAAACCGAUACUGAUGGAUGGACCCGCGGUGCAGUAGCUAGUUGGUGAGGUAACGGCUCACCAAGGCGACGAUGCAUAGCCGACCUGAGAGGGUGAUCGGCCACACUGGGACUGAGACACGGCCCAGACUCCUACGGGAGGCAGCAGUAGGGAAUCUUCGGCAAUGGACGAAAUUCUGACCGAGCAACGCCGCGUGAGUGAAGAAGGUCUUCGGAUCGUAAAGCUCUGUUGUUAGAUAAGCGGUAUCUAACCAUAAAGCCACGGCUAACUACGUGCCAGCAGCCGCGGUAAUUC